GCCCGGGGCCCACCGCACCAGUGCCAGUUGUUCACGUUGGUCCCGUCCUCCCGCUCCUCCACGAUCCAGCGCGGGUCCCCCUGGCCCCACUUGGCCAUGGCGGCGCUGACGACGAGGGCCCUGGUAGCGGGAGCGCGCGGGUUUCCGGCCAGAAGUGCUCCUCUAGAGACAAAAGAUUGUGCUUGCAAGUGCCCGGGAUUGUUACAAUAAGGGUUUAUUCUUUUCAUCGUUUUUAGCAAAACUGAAACCACCAUUUGAAAUGAUAAAACAAUGCAAAAAGAAAAUUCUUGCCUGGCAGUGAGCCUGAAGACAGCUGAUCAAAGGGGAAGAGGUACACCCACAGAUGGGAGAGAUAUGGCCUGGACAGUGGACUGCAGUGGGAGGAAGCCAUGUUUCCAGGACAUGAAAAGUGGAGUCACAGAAGGCUCACUGGGUGCUGGCAGGAGGCAGAGGGGUGUGCCCUUAAACUAACUGUAAUUGUUUUGUGUAAACACUGAAUUUGUGACCUUCUCCAAAACAUGGGCUUGAUAAUUG
ensembl:processed_transcript